UGGCUGAGCUGCGGCGUUUCUCAUUGGCUGAGCUGUGGUGUUUCUCAUUGGCUGAGCUGUAGUGUGGGGAGAGAAAUCAUCCUUCAGUAGUGAAGUAGUUUUACUUUGUGCUCAAGAUGCAAGUGUCCUCUCUUCCUGUUUGGUGUAAUUGAUGGUGUGUGAU